AGAGUUUGAUCCUGGCUCAGGACGAACGCUGGCGGCGCGCCUAACACAUGCAAGUCGAACGAGCGAGAGAGAGCUUGCUUUCUCAAGCGAGUGGCGAACGGGUGAGUAACGCGUGAGGAACCUGCCUCAAAGAGGGGGACAACAGUUGGAAACGACUGCUAAUACCGCAUAAGCCCACAGCUCGGCAUCGAGCAGAGGGAAAAGGAGCAAUCCGCUUUGAGAUGGCCUCGCGUCCGAUUAGCUAGUUGGUGAGGUAAUGGCCCACCAAGGCGACGAUCGGUAGCCGGACUGAGAGGUUGAACGGCCACAUUGGGACUGAGACACGGCCCAGACUCCUACGGGAGGCAGCAGUGGGGAAUAUUGCACAAUGGGGGAAACCCUGAUGCAGCGACGCCGCGUGGAGGAAGAAGGUCUUCGGAUUGUAAACUCCUGUUGUUGAGGAAGAUAAUGACGGUACUCAACAAGGAAGUGACGGCUAACUACGUGCCAGCAGCCGCGGUAAAACGUAGGUCACAAGCGUUGUCCGGAAUUACUGGGUGUAAAGGGAGCGCAGGCGGGAAGACAAGUUGGAAGUGAAAUCUAUGGGCUCAACCCAUAAACUGCUUUCAAAACUGUUUUUCUUGAGUAGUGCAGAGGUAGACGGAAUUCCCGGUGUAGCGGUGGAAUGCGUAGAUAUCGGGAGGAACACCAGUGGCGAAGGCGGCCUACUGGGCACCAACUGACGCUGAGGCUCGAAAGUGUGGGUAGCAAACAGGAUUAGAUACNCUGGUAGUCCACACCGUAAACGAUGAUUACUAGGUGUUGGAGGAUUGACCCCUUCAGUGCCGCAGUUAACACAAUAAGUAAUCCACCUGGGGAGUACGACCGCAAGGUUGAAACUCAAAGGAAUUGACGGGGGCCCGCACAAGCAGUGGAGUAUGUGGUUUAAUUCGACGCAACGCGAAGAACCUUACCAAGUCUUGACAUCCCUUGACGAUGCUGGAAACAGUAUUUCUCUUCGGAGCAAGGAGACAGGUGGUGCAUGGUUGCCGUCAGCUCGUGUCGUGAGAUGUUGGGUUAAGUCCCGCAACGAGCGCAACCCUUACUGUCAGUUACUACGCAAGAGGACUCUGGCAGGACUGCCGUUGACAAAACGGAGGAAGGUGGGGAUGACGUCAAAUCAUCAUGCCCUUUAUGACUUGGGCUACACACGUACUACAAUGGCGUUAAACAAAGAGAAGCAAGACCGCGAGGUGGAGCAAAACUCAGAAACAACGUCCCAGUUCGGACUGCAGGCUGCAACUCGCCUGCACGAAGUCGGAAUUGCUAGUAAUCGUGGAUCAGCAUGCCACGGUGAAUACGUUCNCCGGGCCUUGUACACACCGCCCGUC
rnacentral:rRNA from 1 species